AGCAGCCGCGGUAAUUCCAGCUCCAAUAGCGUAUAUUAAAGUUGUUGCAGUUAAAAAGCUCGUAGUUGAAUUUCGGGACUAAUAUGUCGGUCGUACUUUGUACGUACUAGCAUUAUUGGUUUCUCCCUUCUGACGAACCACGAUGUCAUUAAUUUGGUGUCGCGGGAAAUCAGGACUGUUACUUUGAAAAAUUAGAGUGUUUAAAGCAAGCUCGCGCUUGAAUACAUUAGCAUGGAAUAAUGAAAUAGGACGUUUGAUUCUAUUUUGUUGGUUUCUAGGAUCGACGUAAUGAUUAAUAGGGAUAGUUGGGGGCAUUAGUAUUCAGUUGUCAGAGGUGAAAUUCUUGGAUUUAUUGAAGACUAACUACUGCGAAAGCAUUUUGCCAGGAUGUUUUCAUUAAUCAAGAACGAAAGUUAGGGGAUCGAAGACGAUCAGAUACCGUCGUAGUCUUAACCAUAAACUAU
rnacentral:rRNA from 1 species